rnacentral:rRNA from 1 species
AGGACGAACGCUGGCGGCGUGCUUAACACAUGCAAGUCGAGCGGAAAGGCCUCUUCGGGGGUACUCGAGCGGCGAACGGGUGAGUAACACGUGAGCAACCUGCCCUGGACUUUGGGAUAACCCUCGGAAACGGGGGCUAAUACCGGAUAUGACCUUUGCCCGCAUGGGUGUUGGUGGAAAGUUUUUCGGUCUGGGAUGGGCUCGCGGACUAUCAGCUUGUUGGUGGGGUGAUGGCCUACCAAGGCGACGACGGUUAGCCGGCCUGAGAGGGCGACCGGCCACACUGGGACUGAGACACGGCCCAGACUCCUACGGGAGGCAGCAGUGGGGAAUAUUGCACAAUGGGCGGAAGCCUGAUGCAGCGACGCCGCGUGAGGGAUGACGGCCUUCGGGUUGUAAACCUCUUUCAGCAGGGACGAAGCGCAAGUGACGGUACCUGCAGAGGAAGCGCCGGCCAACUACGCGCCAGCAGCCGC